UUUUUGAACUAAAAUGAGUGUCCUACAUAAUUUUUGGAAUUUCUAGUGUAUUUAUUCUAGUGUACUUAUCCCCUUUUCUAAUGCUUGCAUACAACAAAAGAAAGGAGAAGAGACGCAUCAUCUCAUUCAUGCAUAUCCUGGGAAUGAAAACUAACCUCUAAGCUCAUUCUUCUCCGUCAGUGCUGCUUCUGGGACUGUUCUUCCCAAUAUGAGAUUGUAAAAGAGAUCGAGCAAAUGCUUAUGCUGGCGAACAGCUUCGGAUGGUGAGCACCUUUUUAGUUCGAGAGGUGAUAUCGCUUCACAGAACCUCAUGGACAUCAUCCCGAGAUCCUUAUCUAUCGACUCAUCUUCUUCAUUUUCUCUCACUUCAUUCAUCGAAUUCUUGGUCUGCAACAUUAUUUUCCUCAGCACAAAGGUGGGAAUUUGAUUCUCCACCAUCAUCACGUCUUUGACGAUGGAGUGUCGGGUCAUCGGUGGACUUCCCCCUCGAUCAUCUUCCCCAAUCGAGUCUUCCUGCCUGAUAUUGGCCGGCUUAUCUGGGUCCAUUUUCUCUUGCUUGUGCUUGUAACUGUACAGUAGGUCGAGCAAGAACAAGCUGUCGAUGGUCAUGAUCCAUUUCAGAGUGUCCGUGCCGACUUCCAGGUGCAGCUAGUAGCUUGCGCGAAUCUUCGCCUUGUCCGCUUGGAGCAAACCAGCCAUCUGAUCGAAUGCUGGGAGCUUCAGCGUUGCCUGCGCUCGCCGGGCUACGGCCAGCUUGGGGUGCUCCGUCUGGUAGAGCUGUGGCCGGAGGUGGUGGUAUGGUCCCAGCGCAACAUGGUGCGGGACGUAGGCCUCCGGCUUUGUGGAGCUGAUAAAUUCAGGCACACAGUGUGAGAAGAAAAAGAAUCUAGAAGAUAACCUGUAUAUGAGAGAAUUCUGUAUUCUAUAGUUGCUGAACAAUCAAUUGCAAUACAUCAGUUGAACAUUUCUUUUCAUCUUUCUUCUUGUUCAACCUUACAAAGCUUUACUAUAUGAAGAAGAACAAAAAAUACAGAGAGAGAACUUGAGAAGAACAGAGAGACUCGAGUUUUUAGAAAUGUAUCGCCUUGGUUCAUCAGUUUCCUUCAAUCCCUUUAUACUAAAGCUUAACUACUUAGAUUUUCUUCCAAAACAGAUUUAACAACUUUAGUAACAGAAUGAUUAAUAUUGGCACACGUGCAGCUCCUUCAGUAGCUUGAUCAAUUUCUGUUCCUGGUUUUAAUCUUUUGUAUAGUCGGAUUCUUCAUAGGGAUUGCUAGCUCAGCUUUCCUACGGAUCACCAGCUCAGCUUUUGUUUCUUCGACUUCUUUAUAGCUUGCCAGCUCAUAUUUUAGCUUCACUUCGAUCUUGCUCUGCUUUGGUUUAUUCAGCUGCCUUGUUCAGCUGUAGUCGCAACUCAUCUUUCCCUUCUUUUAUCAUCUUCACUUUGCUCAGCUCCUCUGCUUCUAUCAACUUCUUUGUUCUGUGUUUUUAAUCUUUGUUUUGUCUCUUUAACACAGUGGACGGAAACUGGGGUCUCAAUAUUGAUCCCGUGAUUUAGGGCGUCUCGAAUGUGCUUCACCCAUUGCUCCUCACUAAGGCUUGGGUUGAUGAUGGAGGUCGACGAUGAGGACAUGCUUGUUCGACGAGGUUUAGAGAGCUAACUUAUAUCUUUUAGUCGCAUACAAACACACGUAUCUUUCGCCUCGUUGCAAAUAUGAAAGAAAACAAGGCUGACCUUCAUGGUGAUGCGAAGANNNNNNNNNNNNNNNNNNNNNNNNNNNNNNNNNNNNNNNNNNNNNNNNNNNNNNNNNNNNNNNNNNNNNNNNNNNNNNNNNNNNNNNNNNNNNNNNNNNNAUUAUUAUUCCACACCAAUUCCCUCCUCUCAUCAAAUAACGCCUAGUUCUUUUCCUUUCUAUUUUUUUUUUUUUUUUUUGAAGAAUUCUCGCUAGCUCUUUAUUUAAGUAUAUGUUUUUUUUAAAAAAAAUUUGCACAUACAUGUUGUUAAAUUAAUGUCCAAGUUUGAGUCUUUAUGGAUUUGAUUAGUUGGAAGAUUUUGAUUUGUUCAAAAUCUGUUAUUCCCCAUCCAAAUUAGAUUUUGGUUUCUUCUUCAUGGGCGUUGGUUUUCGAUAAUAGUCCAAGAGUGUAUUCUUACGGAUAAGACUUCAAGUUUGAACCAAAAGUUUUACACUAAAGGACAAAAGAUGGGCGCUCUAUCUUUUUUAUUAUAUUUUUCUUUUGAGGGCAAAAAGGUAAUUAUCUGAGAAAGAAACAAAGUAAGGGUUUGUUUUGCUUUUAUUUCUCCUGCAGCCAUACUUGGUCUCUUUAUAAAAGUGGCAUGAAAGGUGAGGUGCGCCUGGUACAGUUUUCCCAAGAAACUUUCGACCUCCAAAGUCCCUUAGCGAAAUAUUGAGGUAUUUGGUAAGUUUUCUGAAGGAGCUAUUGGCCGAAUGCUAGCAUUGGCAAAACUAAAAGUCCAAUGCUAGUACUAUUAACAUUUGGUGAAAUGCUGAAAUUAGUUUUCUCUUCCAAAACUACUCUUACUAAUUCUUCAAUUUUUUGAUUUUGUUGCUCAAUAUACUUUUUUAAUUAAAAAAAUGACUCAAAUCCUUCGCCAGUCCAGCGAAGGGCUACAAUUGCUAACAAGUCAAAUCUAGCAUUGAUGACCGUCAGUUGAGAUUGCCCAACCUCGGCCGACCUCUAUCAAGGGUCGCGUGAUCCAAGCAACCACUACCUGAGGUCGCGAGACUUAGGAGAUGGUCAUGUGGGUGCAAGCUACUUGGGUCGAGUGACUCACCGAAGGUCGUCGGUGCCAAAUCUGGCUUGUUAGCGGCCAUAGCCCUUCACCGGACCAACAAAGGGCUUAGGUCAUUUUUUUAAUAAAAAUAUAAAAAUAUAUACCCAAAGCCCAUUGCAAAACUUUUUUUACCAAGCACAAUUUGAACUCAAAAUUUAUUUGCAAAGAUUUUUUCCCAAACGCAAAUUGCAUUUUCCCAAAUAGCUUUGAUGUUUAGCAUUUGCAUUACACUUAAAGCCCUUUGCAAAAUUGAACCAAACGCACUCAUANNNNNNNNNNNNNNNNNNNNNNNNNNNNNNNNNNNNNNNNNNNNNNNNNNNNNNNNNNNNNNNNNNNNNNNNNNNNNNNNNNNNNNNNNNNNNNNNNNNNNNNNNNNNNNNNNNNNNNNNNNNNNNNNNNNNNNNNNNNNNNNNNNNNNNNNNNNNNNNNNNNNNNNNNNNNNNNNNNNNNNNNNNNNNNNNNNNNNNNNNNNNNNNNNNNNNNNNNNNNNNNNNNNNNNNNNNNNNNNNNNNNNNNNNNNNNNNNNNNNNNNNNNNNNNNNNNNNNNNNNNNNNNNNNNNNNNNNNNNNNNNNNNNNNNNNNNNNNNNNNNNNNNNNNNNNNNNNNNNNNNNNNNNNNNNNNNNNNNNNNNNNNNNNNNNNNNNNNNNNNNNNNNNNNNNNNNNNNNNNNNNNNNNNNNNNNNNNNNNUCAAUACUCACAUCGAGCCAAGUAAAUCUCUAGUUUUCUAUUACUCCUUGUUUAUUUCUAUGAUAUUUUUCGCAUUGACUUAUUUGCAAGAUCUUAUCAUUUCCGCGUAUUAUAUUUCGAUUAGUAUCAAAGCUUCAAAUCUGAUUUCUUAAUUAUGAUUUGGAGCUUUUGCUUAUUUAAUUAUUAUCUGAAAAUUCUAUUAUUGCAGUUAUAUUUGAGGCGAAAGUUGAAAUUGAGAAAUUUAAUAGGAGGAGCAACUUUGGGUUAUGAAACAUCAAGAUGCGGGCGCUACUAACAAUCCAAAGUUUGGCCAAGGUAUUGGAUGGUGAAUAAGAGUUGCCGCUUAUAAUGAAAGCCUCUGAUAGGCAAAGUUAAUGGAAAGAUCAAAGAGUACAAUCUUGUUGAAUUUGUCGAAUGAGGUGUUAAGAGAGGUGGUCAAGGAGAAGGAUGUUGCAAUGUUAUGGGCAAAACUUUAGGUAUUCUAUGUAAAGAGGGUUUGAACAAUUGCUUAUAGAUGUUGAAGAGAAUGUUUCGAUUUAAAUAUACUAAAACUACAUCUAUUAAAUCCCAUCUAGAUGAAUUCAAUAAACUCAUAAUGGAUUUGAAGAAUGUUGGUAAGAUACUUGAUAAUGAAGAACGGGGCAUGUUGUAGGGGCCUACUACAAUUACCUUGGAAGAGGUAAAGUCUAUUCUAUUCUUUAAGGAGUAGCAGAGAAAGUUACGAGAUAAUGGUCUAAUGCAAGAGGUAAUGCAAGCAUUAACGAUUAUGGGUAGGGAAUAACAUCGAAGGCCUAGUGGAAAUAGAGUCAAAAGUAGGUCGAAAUCAUGCUAGAAAAAGUCCAAGGUAUGCGUGAAGUGCUUUGAGUUUCACAAGGAGGGGCAUAUUAGGAAAGAUUAUCUAGAGUGGAGAAACAAAUGCAAUAGAUAGAAUGCCACAAGCAAUGUAGCGAACGUUGCUAAGUAGAGUACUAGUGAUACAGAGGUUCUUUUAUGUGUGCUUGCUAGUUCAUCAAGAGACAAAUUGGUGCUAGAUUUGGAGCAUUAUUAUCAUAUGAUGCCUCAUAAGAACUGUCUUACUAAUUACCUAGCUACAAAUGGUGGUAGAGUUAUUUUGGGGAAUAACAUAGCUUGUAAGGUUGUGGGGAUGGGGACAAUUGGUAUUUGGAUGCACAAUGGAGUCAUACACACAUUGAUAAACGUGAGGCAUAUACUCUAGCUCAAGAAGAACCUUAUUUCUCUAUGGACACUUAAAGACAAGUACACCACUGAAGGUAGAGUACUGAGCAUCUCUUGACAUGCCAUGAUAGUGAUGAAAGGGAAGAAAUUGAAUACUCUUUAUUAGUUACAAGGAAAGACCAUGACUAGAAUUAUUGCAAUUUCACUAGGUGAGUUAAUCUCUGACUUAACUCAAGUCUAGCAUAUGUUUUUAUGGCACAUGAGUGAGGCAGGUAUGAAGAAACUAAGUGAAAAUGGGUUGUUGAAGGGUGAGCAUUGCAUCUUUAGGAAGUAACAUUGAAUAAAGUUUACUUCAGUUGUUCAUUCGACCAAGUGACUAGUUAAAUGCAUUCAUUCAAACAUCUAGGUUCCUUUGAAAUGAGGUGCCUGGUAUAUGCUAAAAUUUAUCGACAAUUAUUAAAUGAAUGAAUAGUUAUACUUUCUGAAGCACAAAUAUGGUGUGUUUAAUCGGUUCAAGAAAUUUAAGGCAUUAAUUGAUAAUUAGUUAGAUAAACAAAUCAAGUGCCUAAGAACUAAUAAUGACAUGAAGUUCAAUGAUAAAGAUUUUACUGAAUUCUAUAUGAAUAAAGGAAUUAUGAAACACCGCCCAGUACUUGGGACACCAUAGUAGAAUAGCAAUAACAAAACUUUGCUUGAGGGAGCUUGAUGCAUGCUUUUGCAUGAAGGACUAGGCAAAGAAUUUUCGAGCAAAGUAGUGAACAUGAUAUGUUACUUAGUUACUCGAUUUCUAUCAUUUGCUAUCGAGUUUAAGACUCUUGAGAAAGUAUGUCAGGGAAACUAUUGAUACCUAAAUUUUAAAAUUUUAUUUAAGAAUUAAUCGCAUAAAAAAGUAGGGGUUAAUUUUCAAACCCUAGCAAAGGGAAAGAAAAAAAAGAAAAGUAAAAACAAAAAAUCAUUAAAAGGUAUUGUGUUUUCAUUAUUGCACUUUGAAUGGUCUUUUCUUAAUUUUUUCCAAAAAGAAUUGUCAUAAAAAAGAAAAAGGAUUAAAAAUUAUCAAAAUAAAUUAAUUACAAGAGAGAGAGAGAGAGAGAGAGAGAGAGAGAGAGAGAAGAAAAAGAAAGGAAAAUGGGAAAUAUGAGACUGGGCCGGGGGCAGGUUAGCCCGACCUCUCUCUUUCCCUUUUCUUUCUUUUUGCUUGGGCCGGCCCACUUUUCUUUUAUUUUGCCCAAGAUGAGCCCAGCCUUCUUUUCCCCUCUCUCUUCGUCCUUCACGCAUUCUGCGGAAAGGAGGCGGACGUACGCGAGCAAGAGGAAGGACAGAGGUUGAAGGGACAAGCAUGAGCCUCGCACCGGAGUUGGUGGUCGGGGGGGCAGACCGGUAGCAACGGCUGGCUUGGCAGAAGGCCAUGCGCGUCUAUGCUUAAAAGCGAGAGAGGAGCAAGUGAAGACGAGCCGUAGGACAGAGAGCUGGGGGAAAGUUUGAGCGAGUGGGAGAAGAGGAGAGCCGCUCAAGAGAGGAGAUCAGAGAGAAGUGCUUGAGAGAGAGAGAGUGGAGAGCCAAAGAGAGGCUCGACCGUGCACACGGCAUCCCGCUCCCCGACGCCCUUCUUCUGGAUUCCAGAGGGCACUGAAAGAGGAAAGGUAUCUCCGGGAGAUGAAGAAGAAGAGCAGCAACAGGCCGUCCUUCUCGUCCACGCUCCUCGACAAGAUCAACAGAUCCAUCGACGAAUGCGAGCCGAAGCGCGAGCCAAGAAGCAGGGGGGCCGCGGUUUGCCUCCUCCGUCGAGAAGCAGCGCGGCAGCGACAGGGCCAAUGCCGCGGCGGACGCGAAGAGGAGCUAUUUUUCGCAGCAGCUGCUCAGGAAGCCCAAGUACGAACCCGACCACGACAGCGACGAGCUAUACUUUACCUCCACUUCCAUUUCUUCCAUUUCUCGGACACCGAGUCCGUCAGGGGCGCGAGAAGACGACCACUUCGUCGUCUUCUUGCUUCGCGCCGUUCAGGCUCAAGCUCGUGAAGACGAGAGUCGCCGCCGCCAAAAGGGAGGAGAUACGGUAUGCUCCGUUUGGCGAACGGAGAGAAGGCCGAGAAGACCAUGGGCGUCAAUGCUGAAAAGCGAGAGGAACAAGCGAAGAGGGAAGGGGGGGGGGGCGUUUUCUUGUUUUUCGGCAUCGUUUUGAGCAACACGCGUAUGCAGGGAGACAAGGAACAACGAGCAUAACGAGGAGCAAGGAAAUGAACGACCAUUCCGGUGAAGUAUUCUCACGAGUUCCUCGCCCGACCAUCAUUCUUUGAUAACCGGAAGUUUUGGUCUUGACUGGUGACCGUGAUAUGUUCUAUUCCAAAGACGAGGUUAGCCGAGCUCGAUCCCCCUUUUGUUCUGUUUCGUCUCGAUCGACCUAAGGACUGAGAUUUGUUUGCUUCGGUUAUGCACGUAUGGGUCUCUCGGGCGAGUCACCUCUGACUUCAGGGACUGCGUUUGUUGCUUGAUUUCGAUUCUGGACAUGACUUCGAGCCCUGAAUAGAGAGUCGGUUCAUGCUUAAACUCGAGAUUGACGUGCCCUUGCCUCUGUGCUCGCUGAACCGCGCUUGUUUUGUUUAUCGCUUGUGGUGUUUCUACGUGAUUGUUGCAAAAUGGUUGGGUAUUGUUGAGUUGGCGAAGGGUUUUUCUUGGUUCCGGUAAGUGGAUUAGCGGUCGCCGGAGUUUGUGGCGGGCGGUGGUCGACGCCGGUGAGGAUGGAAGCGAGUGGUGAAGGGUCGGUGGUUGUACAGCCACCAGCGACCAAGGAUUGCCAACUGUGAAGAAGAAGAUGUACCGUGGAAGCCGUCGGUGAAGAAGAAAGCACGGGGAGAAGAAGACCCAAAGGGGAAAAAAAAUUGCAGAAAAAGUGAAACACAAAAGCUGGCUUUGGGAAAGAGAAGCCGCAGAGAAGAGAUGUAGUAAAAAAGACGAAAUAGGCAAAAGACAAAAAAAAAUUGAUUAAAAAAUAUUAAUAUUAAUAUAAAAAAACAAAAAAAAAAGGUUUUAAGAAAUCGGUUUUGUCUAUUUUAGUUUUAAUCCAGAUUUGUGUCAAGCCAAUGGACUGGAUUGGGUUUUACCGGUUUGAACCCGUUUUUCUGAAUAUAAUAAUAUUAAAUAUUAAAAAAAAAUUCAGAAUUUCGUUGGAAAAAUUUUAAAAACAAACUUUCCAAGCUAUUUUCUUAAAAAAUGGAAGUUUCUUAACUCUAAAGUAUGCUAAAAAAUUGAGUAAGCCCUUAGGGUUCUACCUUAGGGUUUCAAUGGUCUUCAAAGACAAUUAUUCUUGUUUGCAUGCUUGUGCUGUUCUAACCCUUUUAGUCCAGUUAAGAUUAACAUUUAUCUUUUCCUUAAUGUUAAAUACUUGCUCUCCCAUGCAAUUUAUUUAAAUGCUUAUCUUAGCUGCUAAUUAUUAUUUUAAUGAUUGCACGCCCACAUGAUCACUUCACAUGUUAGCGGAUUGGUCUAAAAUGAACCCAAAUUGUCCGACAAAAACCUUUUUUUUUUAAAAUGAACAAGAUUAGGUAACAAAAGGCCACUAAUUGGUUAAUUAGUGUAAUCAAGUUCCCGACCCUAGAUUAUCUAGUUGCGUGAGGUACACUCUCACGCCUCACUUGAUUUUUAACCAACCCCAAUAUGUUAGUGGCGGCUCUUUAUUGCGAAAAUUUUAAGAACACCCCAAUGUCGCUCGAGGUAUGAGCUUGGGAGAGUCUAUGCCUAAUCAUGGGCCUUAGGUCCAUCCUUUAGGCAAUACCCAUAAAUCUAUUCUCUCACCCCGAGGGGUAAGUUGUGAUAGUAACCUAUUGAUUAUUCUGGAUUACAUACAUUCAAAUAUCCUGUGUAUGCUCAUGCGAGUGAUAUUUUUGAGUUAUGGACAUGGGGUGAAAUGUUACUGGCUAUGGUGCACUGAUCCUAGAUCACUUGGUUUUUUAAUCAGCAAAAACGUAAUCUUAAACAAUACUGUAAUACUUCAACAGAGGAGUAUUGUAACAAAACUAGCAGAGUAGAUAAAUCAUGGUGUCAUUAGUGAGGUAAAGCUUCAGGUGAAGAUUUCGAAGACCUUAAAAGUAACAAAAGUUGAGAUUAUAAAUGAUGUUAUAAUUCCUAAAGUUGGUAAACUAAUCAGCACAGCCGCAGCACAUUAUAGCUGUAGAUAGACAGAUCAGUGUUGAUAUACACUAUAAUAACCAAUGUGUGAUAUUUUUGGCAUAUAAUUUAGUUUAUUAUGAGCGAACGAGAUACAUCAAUAGUAGGUAUCACUUCAUCUGAGAGAUUUUAGCAAAGGGUAUGUUAUUGUGGAAAAAAUUGCUACAGCAAAUAACCCAAUGGACAUAAUGACUAAAUCUAUUUCUUUGGCAAAGCUCAAGCUCUGUUUGAGGUCAAUUGGCGUCUGUGUACAGUGAGCAACCAUCGGGGCAUUAGGAGAGCAACAUGGAUUAUGAGUGCUACAACUUGGUUUUGAACAUCAAGUCGAGGUGGAGAAUUAUUAAAUUAAUGUUUCGAGUUUGAGUUAUUACGGAUCCGUUGGAAGAUUUUGAUUUGUUCAAAAUCUGGUAUUCCCCAUCCAAAUCAGAUUUGGUUUCUUAUUCAUGGGUGUUGGUUUUCAAUAAUAGUCCAAGAGUGCAUUCUUGCAGAUAAGACUUCAAAUUGAACCGAAGAGUUCUGCAUUAAAGGACAAAAAUCGAGCACACUAUCUUUUAUUAUAUUUUGCUUUUGAGGGCAAAAGGAUAAUUGCUUUUGAGGGCGAAAAGGUAAUCGUCUGAGAAAGAAAUAAAGCAAGGGUUGUUUUGCUUUUAUUUCUCGUGCGGCCGUACUUGGUCUCUUUAUAAAAGUGGCGUAAAAGAUGAAAGCUUUACAAUAUAUAUGUUGCCAAAUCCUAGUUGAAGUUGCACACGAUGGGCCGAGCGUUAAAAGUUGUUGACUCUAGACACAAUGUAUAAAAAGACGUGGGUUUCAUCACAAGAAAAGAAGCGUCAAACGUCUAGAGCACCACAUGAAAAAAAGAGCUACACAAGCCAAGAAGAAGCCGUCGUGCGCAAGAAAAAAGACGAACACGUUGAGUUCUAUCUUGGGCAUAUGUAGAUGUCUUGAACGCUUGAAAUAUUUUCUGCUGUGAGUUUACGCCCAAAUGAGUUGUUUAUUUAUAGAUACUUUCAAUUUAAGCUUAAAUCUUGAUGUGAGAAAGACCCCAACAUGUAAGUGAUUGUAAAUUCUGAUUCUUCGAUUAUAGUGUAUUAUUUGCUGCUAGCUCUAUCUAUAGAUGUAGAUACUGAUAUUCAGACUGAACUAAUAUUUUUCAUAUUGACUUAUCUAUAAGAUCCUGCCGUUUUCGCAUAUUAUAUUUGAACACAUAUUGGUAAGGGCAAUCGGUUUCAAGGUAAGUAGAUUCUAGACUUGGAAUUUAGAACCGUCCUAGGGUGAGUUUUGUUGAAUUUAAGGUGCGAUGCACAUGCUAAAGCCAAAGUCCUUUAGAAGAAAUGCAAAUUGAGUUUGGUAAAAACUCAUUUGCAAAACAACUUUGGGUGACGCAGUGUUUGGUAAAAAAUAAAAUUGCAAAGGCCUUUCACAAUAGUUUUUCUUUUUUUAUUAAAUAUAAAUCAAACCCUUCGCUAGCUCUGGUGAAGAGUUCAAGCCGCCAACUAGCUAGAUUUGGUGUUGGCAACCUAGGUCACAUGACCUCAAGCAACCCUUGGCGAGGGUCACACAACUCGGGUGACUAUCACUUGGGCAGUUGUGCGAUUUCAGGUGGCCAUCGCAUGGGUCGCAUGACCUUCCUUGUCUCUUGCUGGCCCUUCACGAGUUGAAUUUGACCUCGUUGGCUCUCGUCAACUACCUUAGCAAAGAAGAUGAAGUGUAACAACAAGAGGUAAAAUUGAAAAAUUAAAGAAUUGGUGAAGAUAGUUUUGUAAGAAAAAAUUUAUUUAACCCUACUUUUAGCAUUUUGAGAAUGAUAUUUUGAAGGUUGGUCCCUACUUGUUUUGGGCCUUCAGCAUUCCCAAGAUCAACAUUUGGCCAAAAACUACUUCGAAAAGCUUGCCAAACAUCCAGUUUUUCCCCAAGGGGCAUUAGAGGCCGAAAGACCCUUGGGAAAGCCAAAUCAAACGCAAUAUUCUAAAAUUUAUCAUGUUUGCCUUGGAACCUAUUCUUUUUUCUUCUUUUUUUGAUUCCAGGAUCUACCUAAGAAUCUAUUUUUCUUUUGUUCCUUAUUUUAGCUUCAUUUUCUGUGGUAAAAAAAUAUUAGUAAUAAAAUGAUUCAAAGUAAAAGAUAAUGAGGAUGAGCGAGCAAAGGCAAUUUGGGAACAAAAGAGUGAGGCUCAAACAAGCUGCAAGCAAUAGAGGAGGAGGGUGAGUCACAAACAAGAGAGAGAGUCAUGAAGUGUUAUGUAGUCUAAGUGAGGUUAGAGAGAACAAAGAAAAAGAGAGAAAAAAAAGAAGAAGAGGUUUUUAGACUUUAUGAAACCGGUUCCAAAUUCGAUCCAAUCGAUUCAUUGCCCCAAUCAUUCUUCACUUCGAAUAGGGAAGCAGUUCAAAAUUUGGAAGUGGGAACUAGACCAGUUCCAACUAGAAGCUGUAAUUAGACAAAAAAAUUUAGUUUGGUCUAGUUCCAAGUAGAAUCGAUCUGGUUACACAGUUCUACACGUGGCCUUAUACAUUUGGAAGCGUACGAUACAAAUGCUUAUGUUGUGUUGAAUAACUGAGGACAACUCCACACGGAGCAAAAUGUCUGCAGAACCAUGAGCAAAAUGAGCACGACUGUGGUGACCAUAGUGAGGAACUUCCAAGAAGAGUAGACGUACUUCCUCAUGAGAUUAUAACCCUUGACCUUUCGAGUGUUGUUGUAGUACCUGUUGACGUCUUGAAUCGUCUUGUCCAGCUCCGACGCAGUGCUUUUGGAACCUAUGGAUUUGAUCAUUCCAUUGAAGAGCUCCACGACCUUGUCAUCGCAGUUCAGAUGGUUUGAGAUGAUGGACGCUUCCCUCAGCAACUUCACGUCCUCAGAGGUGUCGAUAAUGCCGUACAUCAACUCCGUGUAUCGCGUCAAAACCGAGGAGCCACGUUGCGAUAUCAUUUCGUAGGCCACGAGGUUUCGUAGUAGGACUUCGGUGGGAGCAUUCAGAACGAUCCGAGGGAGGUUCAGAGUAGCGGUUUUUGGAUCAAAACCGAUGGUUCUGAUACCUCCUACAGCCAAGCGUAGCUUGAUCCCGACGCUGUGGAGCCUCGACACCGUGGGGAUCAUAACACUUUCUUGAGAAGGGUCUUUCUUAAGGCACUCGGAGCAUCCGGGUAUCAAUUGCAUUACCAAUUUAAUUAACUUGAAGACAAGUUCGACCGGCACUUUCAGCUUCUUCAUGAAAGAGAAUUUCGAUAACUCAUUCCAUGCCUCAGUGACUUUGGAUGAUGGAUUGGGUACCAUCUUGAUCAUAUAGCUAAAGGUUGCACCUGUUGAUAAAUAGGUACUUUUAUUCACUUUUUUAAUGGGAUUAAUAUACUAGUAGUACCAAAAGUUGUAUAUAGCGCUCAUUUAAGUGCCAGAAGUUUUCGCUAUCUCACUCAAAUACUAAAUUGGAUAAAAGAACAAUCACUUAUGUGACAAUAACGAGAAAUUCUAGUCAAAUUAAUUACGCGGCAUUUAUAACAUGACUUGGUAUAUUUUUUAAAAACUCUAGUCCAUGUGGCAUUUCUACUAACAUGCUUGAUAUUGAAGCUAUCGUUUUUUAAUAAUGGUUGGUACUGAAGUGAUCACUUUAACAAAAUUUAUACUCAAACGAUUAUUAUUUACAACUUUUAGAUGAUAUCGUUUAGGGUUUAUAUAUUGACUAAGUACGCCGGUGAGUCACGUAGGACAUAAAAAUUAAUAAAUAUAGUCACAUCAAAUUUUUGGCGACCUAAAAUGGAGUUGACACUUUAAGUAAUCAUUUUUUUUUUUAAAAGUGAUACUUAAAUAAUCCAGAAAAACCUUUUUGAACUAAAAUGAGUGUCCUAUAUAAUUUUUGGAAUUUCUAGUGUAUUUAUUCUAGUGUACUUAUCCCCUUUUCUAAUGCUUGCAUACAACAAAAGAAAGGAGAAGAGACGCAUCAUCUCAUUCAUGCAUAUCCUGGGAAUGAAAACUAACCUCUAGGCUCAUUCUUCUUCGUCUGUGCUGCUUCUGGGACUGUUCUUCCCAAGAUGAGAUUGUAAAAGAGAUCGAGCAAAUGCUUAUGCUGGCGAACAGCUUCGGAUGGCGAGCACCUUUUUAGUUCGAGAGGUGAUAUCGCUUCACAGAACCUCAUCGACAUCAUCCCAAGAUCCUCAUCUAUCGACUCAUCUUCUUCAUUUUCUCUCACUUCAUUCAUCGAAUUCUUGGUCUGCAACAUUAUUUUCCUCAGCACAAAGGUGGGAAUUUGAUUCUCCACC
rnacentral:lncRNA from 1 species